UGCAAUCUAGCUGCCUGUCACAAAGAACCGCCAACACCGAAGACACCUGUGGUCACAGUGGAACCGGUCAGACAGAUAUCGAGCAAGGCAGAGCAGGGCAACUUACUGCAAUUCAGAGGAGAAAAACUGAGGCAUGAAGAGAUUAAGACAUGGUCAUGGACAUAUAGCUAAGAGGUAGCAGCGAUGGAUUCAAACCUCAGCACCCUGGCUCCAGAGUCAAUGCUAUGUUGCCUCUCAUGCAGGGCUAAGAGUUUUCAUUCUUCUCCUAAAGUUCCAUGAAGGAUAGGGACUGCACCUGCCUUUUUAAAACCAACGUAACACACUCAAAGGCAGUGUCACAGCACUGACCACUUAGGCCCAUCCAGGACGUUGCAAUGCAUCUGCAGCACGCACAGCAGCAUGCCGGCAGAGGUUUCCCAGAGGACAGAGAGGGACAUGCGGACGGCGUGUAAAGGCUGACGUGCUCCCACAACCCUGUCACCCUGCUCGGCCACAGCAAAGGGCUCCUC